UAGGCCUACACUCCUAUAUACACAUGUCUCCACUCCACGCCCAAAAAAUCAAGACUUGCACCGAUACUAAAGCAAUGCCUCAGAUUUGCUCAUGUUUCCUCUCACCCUUUUCUUCUUCUAAAAGCUAAACACAACCACACAGGUGGUACCCCAAAAAGCGAAAAGUCUCAACAAAGUUUAUUAAUCUGGCGCAGCAAGGCGCCAAGGUGGUACUACCAGAAACGAAAUGGUGGGCUGCCUGCAUGGUGCAUGUGAGGCCGGCCAAGGACGCGCAUCAAGUCCAAAAGAGGGGAGGGGUUGGUUGAGUUUUGUACUCCAAUGGCGCCACCUAACCACAAAUUUAGUCCUAGGAUGGAAGGGUGAGUGAGGGGGGCAGGGCCCCAACCCCCAACCCCAAUCAACUCCAGUCAAGAACAUGCAAGGAGUAUGUUGUGUACCAGCAGUUGCUGUCCAAUUACUCAUGCAUCUUCCUUGCUAACCCAGCCAAAGCAGCUAGCUUAGCUCUAGCUUGGGGGAAAAGUGCUGCUGGGUGUUGGGUGUGAGCGAAGGGAGCAAGCAAGGCAACCCUACAGACUACUACAGUGCUGGCCGGCCGGGCCACCAGCGUGGCUUAACUGCUAGCUUGCAAGUGCAAAAUAUACAAGGAAGUUAAUGGGGCAAUGAUGAUGAUGGUGGUCGACCACGGGAACCAGAUCGACGCAAAACCUAGCUAGCUUCACAUCUCGUGCAAGGCAGCUAGCGUGUUGCGAUGAUAGGGGGUCGGGUCACAUGCGCCGGCUGACCGGCCGGCAUAUGCCAUCGAUCGAAUGGCCUUUGGGGCUCACCACAUCGUGCAGCCAGUGUAGCUUAUUAAUCAGUUCAUCAUUCCUUCAUGCAUGCAUGCAUGCACAUAGUUUGUUGC
rnacentral:lncRNA from 1 species